UAUUAUUCAGCUUAAAUGUCAUGAAACUAUUAAGUGGUGCUACCUAGUGUCGGCUUGGCAACAUUGUCGUCUGUCGCAAAAUACAGUUUAGCGCCACUCUGCGCAGCGACGAAACGCUGAAACCAGUGAACAAGUUACAGACGAGACAUUAAUUGCGAGACAUUCGUCCGAGGAUAUUGCAUUACAAACGAAGUAAUACAAACGAGAAACGCUUUUAUUCACCGCCGGCAUUUAGCUUUUAGCUGUAAAUACGAAACCAAGGUGGCGCCACCGGCACCAUUAUUCACCAUUAUUCUUCAUUUUGCGAGCGACACCAGCGUGGUUCCGGCGGACUGGUGAAGCGGUUAGGUAAAUUGAUUACAUACUAUUUGUGUAGUAAAAUACGACGGAAUACUAUUUACUAUUGUACUAUUUACUAUACUAUUCAAUAUUGUGUAGUUUCCUCUAUCAAAUUUCAUACACUUUUUACUACAUUUAGAUAAAAAUUGAUCCAAGAUUGCUGUAA